rnacentral:rRNA from 1 species
GCAUAUCAAUAAGCGGAGGAAAAGAAACUAACAAGGAUUCCCUUAGUAACGGCGAGUGAAGCGGGAAGAGCUCAAAUUUGAAAUCUUCAAGGUUCUACCUUGACGAAUUGUAGUUUAAAGAAGUGUUUUCUGUUAGAUGAGUAGCAAAAGUUCCUUGGAAUGGGACAUCAUAGAGGGUGAGAAUCCCGUAUUUGGUUAUUCAUUCUAGCUUUGUGAUACACUUUCAAAGAGUCGGAUUGUUUGGGAAUGCAGUCCAAAGUGGGUGGUAAAUUUCAUCUAAAGCUAAAUAUUGGCGAGAGACCGAUAGCGAACAAGUACCGUGAGGGAAAGAUGAAAAGAACUUUGAAAAGAGAGUUAAACAGUACGUGAAAUUGUCAAAAGGGAAGCGUUUGACACCAGUGUUGUUUUUCCGAAAAUCAAUUACGAAUGGCUUGAUUUUGUGUUGUAUUGACCUUAUCAGCUUUCUGCACUUUUUUCGAGUCUUUCUUAAUGCACUUUUCGGUUAACAAGUCAACAUCAAUUUCUUUUGUUGUAAAAGAGUAUUCGGAAGGUGGCUUUCUUUUCGGAGAAAGUGUUUAUAGCCCUAUACUUCUACAAUCGGAGAGAUUGAGGUCUGCAGCGUAGAUCCUUCGGGGUUAGAUACACUUGUGCUAAGUUGUAGCUUUUCAUAGACAACUUGUUGACUAUGUUUAGUCAUGCGGCUUACUCGCUUGUGCUAUUUUACCUACGCUUAGGAUGUUGACAAAAUGGUUUUAAACGACCCGUCUUGAAACACGGACC